GCGGAAGUAGUUCAGCGGUAGAACAUCACUCUGUGCCAAGGUGGGGGUCGCGGGUUCGAACCCCGUCUUCCGCU
rnacentral:tRNA from 1 species